rnacentral:rRNA from 1 species
GAUGAACGCUAGCGGCAGGCUUAACACAUGCAAGUCGAGGGGUAGGAGAAGCUUGCUUUUCUGAGACCGGCGCACGGGUGCGUAACGCGUAUGCAAUCUACCUUUCACAGAGGGAUAGCCCAGAGAAAUUUGGAUUAAUACCUCAUAGUAAUACGCCUUGGCAUCAAGAUGUAUUUAAAGAUUUAUCGGUGAGAGAUGAGCAUGCGUCCCAUUAGCUAGUUGGUAUGGUAACGGCAUACCAAGGCAACGAUGGGUAGGGGUCCUGAGAGGGAGAUCCCCCACACUGGUACUGAGGCACGGACCAGACUCCUACGGGAGACAGCAGUGAGGAAUAUUGGACAAUGGGCGCAAGCCUGAUCCAGCCAUGCCGCGUGCAGGAUGACGGUCCUAUGGAUUGUAAACUGCUUUUAUACAGGAAGAAACCCCUCUACGUGUAGAGACUUGACGGUACUGUAAGAAUAAGGAUCGGCUAACUCCGUGCCAGCAGCCGCGGUAAUACGGAGGAUCCAAGCGUUAUCCGGAAUCAUUGGGUUUAAAGGGUCCGUAGGCGGUCAGGUAAGUCAGUGGUGAAAGCCCAUCGCUCAACGGUGGAACGGCCAUUGAUACUGUCUGACUUGAAUUAUUAGGAAGUAACUAGAAUAUGUAGUGUAGCGGUGAAAUGCUUAGAGAUUACAUGGAAUACCAAUUGCGAAGGCAGGUUACUACUAAUUGAUUGACGCUGAUGGACGAAAGCGUGGGUAGCGAACAGGAUUAGAUACCCUGGUAGUCCACGCCGUAAACGAUGGAUACUAGCUGUUGGGAGCAAUCUCAGUGGCUAAGCGAAAGUGAUAAGUAUCCCACCUGGGGAGUACGAACGCAAGUUUGAAACUCAAAGGAAUUGACGGGGGCCCGCACAAGCGGUGGAGCAUGUGGUUUAAUUCGAUGAUACGCGAGGAACCUUACCAAGGCUUAAAUGUAGUUUGACCGGUUGGAAACAG